ACGCUCGACACCUACGGGAAGCAGCAGUGAGGGAUAUUGGUCAAUGGGGGAAACCCUGAACCAGCAACGCCGCGUGAGGGAUGACGGUCUUCGGAUUGUAAACCUCUGUCCUCUGUGAAGAUAAUGACGGUAGCAGAGGAGGAAGCUCCGGCUAACUACGUGCCAANGCCGCCGGUAAGUACUGAGCGGGCGUGGCGAAGGACG
rnacentral:rRNA from 1 species